UGGGGAAUAUUGCACAAUGGGGGAAACCCUGAUGCAGCGACGCCGCGUGAACGAAGAAGGUAUUCGUAUCGUAAAGUUCUGUCCUAUGGGAAGAUAAUGACAGUACCAUAGAAGAAAGCUCCGGCUAAAUACGUGCCAGCAGCCGCGGUAAUACGUAUGGAGCGAGCGUUGUCCGGAAUUAUUGGGCGUAAAGGGUACGCAGGCGGUUUAAUAAGUCGAAUGUUAAAGAUCGGGGCUCAACCCCGCAAAGCAUUGGAAACUGAUAAACUUGAGUAGUGGAGAGGAAAGUGGAAUUCCUAGUGUAGUGAUGAAAUACGUAGAUAUUAGGAGGAAUACCAGUAGCGAAGGCGACUUUCUGGACACAAACUGACGCUGAGGUACGAAAGCGUGGGGAGCAAACAG
rnacentral:rRNA from 1 species